rnacentral:lncRNA from 1 species
ACCUUUCAAACAACAGCUUGUGAAGAUGAAAACCUCCAACUUGUAUAUCUAUCCAAUUUGUAGACUUCGGAGCUAACAUUAAAAAUAAAGACAAAACCCUAAGUAAUAAUUCAAAAAAGAACACAAAACAACUAAAUCAAAUUGACAAGGUAGAAAAACACCAUUGAUGGAAUAAACUAAAUAUAUACCUUCAUUCACUAAAAUAAAUUUGAGAAGGAAAUAUGGAAAUGGUCAGAAGAGAGGCAUCAUCUUAAGCAACCUCAUACAUGAAAAAUGCAUAUUGCAUAAUUAAAUCAAAUUUACAUAAAAAAUAACAUCCUUAACAAUAUAAUUUAAAAAACUAAAAAGAAAACUUAUCUUUCUCUCUCUUCCCA